AUUGAACGCUGGCGGCAGGCCUAACACAUGCAAGUCGAGCGGAUGAGUGGAGCUUGCUCCAUGAUUCAGCGGCGGACGGGUGAGUAAUGCCUAGGAAUCUGCCUGGUAGUGGGGGACAACGUUUCGAAAGGAACGCUAAUACCGCAUACGUCCUACGGGAGAAAGCAGGGGACCUUCGGGCCUUGCGCUAUCAGAUGAGCCUAGGUCGGAUUAGCUAGUAGGUGAGGUAAUGGCUCACCUAGGCGACGAUCCGUAACUGGUCUGAGAGGAUGAUCAGUCACACUGGAACUGAGACACGGUCCA
rnacentral:rRNA from 1 species